UACGUAGGGUGCGAGCGUUGUCCGGAAUUAUUGGGCGUAAAGAGCUCGUAGGCGGUUUGUCGCGUCGGCCGUGAAAUCUCCACGCUUAACGUGGAGCGUGCGGUCGAUACGGGCAGACUUGAGUUCGGUAGGGGAGACUGGAAUUCCUGGUGUAGCGGUGAAAUGCGCAGAUAUCGGGAGGAACACCGGUGGCGAAGGCGGCGACCUGGGUAGAUACUGACGCUGAGGUGCGAAAGCGUGGGGAGCAAACAGG
rnacentral:rRNA from 1 species